CCAUGGCACAGAACCACCUGCUGGCGGCUGGCUGUUGAAGAGCCAGCCUUUCUCCCCACCCCACUUCGUUCCUCCCCUGCAGAUAGCCGCGCUGCACUGGGCCUCCCUUAAGGAGAGAGGUACGUCAUGUCCCACAGGGGUGCUGAAAAACACGGCUUUUGCUGGACACUCCAGGGAGAACAAGAUGACUUAUGUCAAAGCAACAGGCCCCAGUGAAGACCUGCAGCCUCGGUGGCAGUGCAACGGGACCAAUACUCUGUACAAGAGGAAUGUGUUCUCUGUCGACAGCUUGCUUGAUUUCUAAGAGCUGGGUCUUGGCCUUCCUUUUCUAAGCUCCAAUCAUCGGAAACUAAUGCUGAACAAAUCUUCUGAGGCUGCCUCAUGCAAUCCCUUUAACUUGUGAUGAGAAAACUGAAGUGCAGUGAUUAAGCUACUGUGCCCCUAGCGAGCCGUGGAGACAGGGCGGGGAGCAGGACCAGCGCCGACACCCCUGCAGUGUGUUGUACCUCACAGAGCCACCAAGACUGUGCAAUGAGAAGCCUAUGUCCUAGACGUGGGGAGCCAAUUCUCUCAAGACACCAACUUUUCUGGGGACACACAGCUGCUCUGACGGUGGGCUUGUGCAUGCGCUAUGACAGACCAAGUCAUCUGCUUUCCUCGCCUGGAGCCCUCUCUCCUCCAACGUGUCCAGCUGGCUUAGGCAAGUGACCAAUCAUAGCAUAUCAUUGUAUUUUCCAUACGGUAGUUAAAAUAAUAAAUCUGAGCAUAUGGAAAAUAAAUUUAACAGUAAUACUAUCUAAGGUAACUGUAUUCAUCGUGGUGAGUUGUUUAAUUGCUUUAAGAUCCACUACCAUACUGGAUCUGUGGACAUGGCAUUUUUAUUGCUUUAAUAAACAUAUUUCUUAAAUUACAUCC
rnacentral:lncRNA from 1 species